UACGGAGGGUGCAAGCGUUGUCCGGAAUCACUGGGCGUAAAGGGCGCGUAGGCGGCUCAUGAAGGCUGUGGUGAAAGUCCGGGGCUCAACCUCGGAUCGGCCGUGGCGACUCGUGGGCUGGAGCACUGUAGAGGCGGGUGGAAUUCCGGGUGUAGCGGUGGAAUGCGUAGAGAUCCGGAAGAACACCAGUGGCGAAGGCGGCCCGCUGGGCAGUGGCUGACGCUGAGGCGCGACAGCGUGGGGAGCAAACGAGGAUUAGAU
rnacentral:rRNA from 1 species